CGGAGCCUUUUUCUAAGCAGCUAUAGUGUCAUUUAAUAGCUGAAGUUAAAAAGAAAAGCACAGAGGGAACAUUUUCAAUAUAGCGUUUGAGAUGAGUAACAGAACUCUGAGAAAAUAAAAUG